GUUGUGGUGUUGAACUUUAGGGGAUUAACACUAGCUAGUGUAAACAGCACCCUCUGGCCGGUGUAAAUAUGCAGAGAAACUCUUAUAACACUCUGUUGAGUGUUAUUAGUCACAUCCGGGACAUUUGCUCGUGUGCGCGCUUGACCCAUCUGGAAUAUUUUUCACAGACGCCAUUUUCUUAGACUCGCGAUGCGGAGCAUAUGAGGACGGAAAACAGCGAAAUUAAGUGUUUAAUCUUAAUCACAAUAUGUGUUUUGUAAUAUCAUAUCGUUUUACAGCGAUAUUUAUGAGGUGUGUGCGCCUAAACUAUUUUUAAAGACAUUUCUUCCACUCGCGAGGCGGACCAGAGGAGGACGUUUCUUUUUAAAAGGGACACGCCGAAAGUUAAGUGUUUUAUCUCAUUUAUAUGUAUUUCACAACAUCAUAUUGAUUUAUAGCGAUAUUUGUGUGAUGUGCACUCCUAAACUUUUCCUCAGGAAAUUGGUUUUAUCAUGGAAAACACCGAACAUGCAUUUGAAUGGCUAUGCAUUGACGCGGAAGCCACUUUUAACAGGGGAAACAUAAAGAGACAUGUUCUUUCACUGGAGUUGCGGAGCAGACGGGGAAGUUGGUCUUCUCAAGGAAAACACUGAAUGGUUCAUGCUGGCUUAACAGAAAAAUCGAAAGGAGAUGAUGUGCUUGAAGAGUAUGAAGCCACCAAGGCAUUAAGUGGGAUGAGAAGUGUUUACACAUACCAGAGACAUGGGAGCACUUUUGUGAUGCUGCAAGUGGGAGUGGGUAUCUUGCUUGGCUGAAAACUGCAGAGAAACACAUCUCAUCUUGCUGAAAACUACUCUUUACAAGGAGGUCCAAACACCAUUAGCAGAGACUUUGUUCAGUUAGCAUUAACAUGCAUUCUGCCUGGAUGCUAAUGAAUGGAAUGCUGUUGUUUAAGCUGAUAAAUGUAAGCAUUAUAAACCUCGUGACAUUAAUUGUACAUAUGGACCAAAUAAGAAUAUGUAUUUUGUGCCUUUGCACUGAUUUGCUUUGACAUUAUGAUGUUUUAAUUGUUGUAAGAACAUGUUCUUUACAUACAUUGAAUGUGAAAACAUUUUUCUCAGGGAAAAGGAUUUACAAUGUUUCAAUUAAAAAUUAA